rnacentral:rRNA from 1 species
UACGUAGGGUGCGAGCGUUGUCCGGAAUUAUUGGGCGUAAAGAGCUCGUAGGCGGUUUGUCACGUCUGCUGUGAAAUCCCGAGGCUCAACCUCGGGCCUGCAGUGGGUACGGGCAGACUGGAGUGCGGUAGGGGAGAAUGGAAUUCCUGGUGUAGCGGUGAAAUGCGCAGAUAUCAGGAGGAACACCGAUGGCGAAGGCAGGUCUCUGGGCCAUAACUGACGCUGAGAAGCGAAAGCAUGGGGAGCAAACGGG